GCCCUGAUGGUCUAGCGGUAUGAUUCUCCCUUAGGGUUAAAAACCCACAUCUGGGAGAGGUCCCAGGUUCGAUCCCUGGUUAGGGCC